CAUAGCGCUAAGAGGGGGAGCAAACAUAUGCCAUAUAUGCCAGGUCCCUUGAAACAUAAGCUGUGCAUAUGUUUCUUACCUGCAGCGACUGUGUUAAGCAGCAAGGGUGGACCGGCUUCCAGCAUGAAUAGAGAGAGAGAGAGAA